rnacentral:lncRNA from 1 species
GUGGUUACAUAAAUGUAUAUUUUAGAGAAAACUUUUUAGAAACCUGAAUCUCCCAUAGGGGUUGAAUUUAAAAUCUCCGCAACCUUCAACUGCAAAAUUUUGAAAAGUACAUACAAAUGCACCUCAAAAUUGCUCCUGGCAUAUUUUUAAAAUGCAACAGAUCACUCAUUUAUCAAUGUAACAGAAGAAAGGCACAGGCAGAAACUUGUACAGGAACAGUUUACAUGGUAAUUUCUUCAUCAUCAUCACUAUCACCACCCUCAGCAGCAGCAGCAUUAAGCUCCCCCUCCUCUUUUCUCCUCCGCUAAGAGACACACUCUUUCCACUCCAAUCAAAAGGAGGCAGAGCCAACCUUCAAUUUAUUUGAGACUACGGAAGGCUCUGUCUUGAGAGAGGAAGAGGGCAAUAGGGAGAAAGAGAGCUGAGAGCCAAGGCUGGGUGGGGUGCCUCCGCCCUUCUCCUGGGUGCACAGCUGAGUGGGCGGGCAGGCGGGCUUUCGGGUUGGCUGCGGAGUGGUUGGUGGGCUCUGAAUAUUCUCCUACAAAGAAGGUGGGAGGGGAAGCAGUGGGUGGAGCAGGGCGGAAGCCCUGACAGGUGGGCCAGACAGCGUGUGCACACAGAGCACACUGCCAGGGGAGGAUGCUGCUGCGAGAGGAAAAGGGGGUGGGGAGUGGCGGGGCCAGCGCAAGGAAGGUGCAACCGGAGGGGCAGAGCCACGGAGCGCGGCGCUAUCAGGUUGUGUUGCAGGAGACCGGGGGCAUGUUUGCUGUGUUUGCAUCCUCUUCACCAGUCUGGCAGGAGAGCUGCACGCCUGAGCGCUCUGGAAGCUACGUCCUGUGCGUUGGUUCCUCCGCCAGGCAGAGAGACGGUGGCACUGUUGAAGCCAAGAGUAAGAGUUGCCAGAAGUUAACAGAAAAUAAAAGAAAAUAAGAGUGAAGAAACUUGAUUAAGCACAGAAACCUGAAAACCCACAGGUACGUAAAACAAUUAAACCAACCAUCUAUGAUCUUAUAAUUGUAUUCCUACUGUUACGAACACAU